ACACUAUCAUCUAUACUAGCAAGCCGACAUAGGCCAGGCUGUGAAGCCAUGUCGUCUGCUUCCGGCACCGGCCAGAGCACUCCCGCCGGCUCACGCCCUGCACACCGCACAGCCUUACGCAAGUACUUGCGCGUCGGGCCCUACCCGCGUACUUGCGCUGAAAUGGAAUACAUCUACCUAGGUCACUGUGACAUGUCGGGGUCACGCCCCCUCACAGCCAUGUCCCUGCCGAGGACUGCUGCGUAACGUUAUCCCCGCGCCCACGGCGGUACCCCGCCUAAGAGAGUGCAAAUACGCACGUUCUCUGCUGCAAAGUGGUGUUGUGCUUAUGUAGUGCCGCCAUCCCACCAUGCCCCCGUCUCCAUCGCACUCCAGGUGCCACGCGCCGCUCUUCCCACCGCUCGUGUCGCGCGCAUGUCGCUGCACACCACCGAGUCCACCACUCCACCACCGCUACCAGCCCCACCGCCGCCUCGCAAUAGUGGUACGCUGCGUCU
rnacentral:lncRNA from 1 species